rnacentral:tRNA from 1 species
UCCCUGGUGGCUCAGAGGGUAAAGUGUCUGUCUGCAAUGCAGGAGACCCAGGUUCGAUCCUUGGGGUGGGAA